rnacentral:misc_RNA from 1 species
GGAAGGAUCAUUAACGAGCUAUAUAUACAUUUUUAAUGUAUACUAUGCAUUAUUUGCGCUUGUAAAUGCGUCGAUAUGUAUAUGUACAUCGUAUAUAUGUGAGACCAUUCGAAUUCGGAAUAGGCUACAGACGAGCCUCCUCUGUAGCACUAUAUACAGUUCGUUUGGGCUAUAUUCAAUGGGCUAUUCCUCAAAGGCGCGUGUAUACGUAAAUUAUACGCCGCCUUUGUCGUGGGUACCUGAUCACCCGACUGCAGACGAGGCCCGUCUGCGUGGAAGUCGGUUGUGGUAAAGUUUCUUUCAGUACACAUAGUCAAAUCAGUCUAUUCAGUAAAAGUAGACUGUAUUGGCGCUCGUAAAUAUAUGUCUGAAUGAAAUGGUGGUUUAAAGAGUCGCGUAAACUCUAGCUUUUUUUAGCUAGUACGACCGCCCGCAAAAACUCUAUACAUAGUUUAAAAUAUACGUAUAUAAUGUCUCUUUUGUCUUGUAAACUGAAAGAGACUUUGUAUCUAAAAGAAUAUGGAUCGAAUAGAUCCCAUUCUAAGCGGUGAAUCACUAGGCUCGUGGGUCGAUGAAGAACGGGGCCAGUCCCGAGAAAAAGUGUGAAUUGCAGACACAAAGAACAUCGACAUUUUGAACGCAAAUUGCGGUAUCAGGCUUGCUUGAUACCACGUCUAUUUGAGGGUCGUUUGAUACGACAUCUAUUAUAGUGCCAUUAUAAGUGGUGCUGUAUAUGUAUAUGUUUAUAUAGGCGUGUGGUAAAAGUGUAUACGCCUGAUAUAGAUGAAUAUGUAUAUGUAACGACCAUGAUGUAAAUUAUAUAUGGUCUCUAUUUAUAUACAUACGUUCGAUGGAAGAGUAUAAGAUGCAUCGUAGUCGAUGUUAGCCUUUUGCGCAUUAUAGAUAGAUUGAAAUAUAGUCUACGAAGACAGUAAACGUCUUCUAUGUAGCUUAUUUCUUGCCUCAUCUAUCUAUACUCGCCAUAUAGGUCUGACUGCGCAAAGUCUUAUACGUUGACGACAUCGUUCUAUUUCAAUGUUCGACCUCAAAUUAGACGUGAUUACCCGCUGAAUUUAAGCAUAUAAGUAGGCGGUGGAAAGAAAUUAACUAAGAUUUCCUUAGUAACGGCGAGUGAAAAGGAACGCAGUUCAGCGCUGAAUCCUUUAGCCUAUGGCUUUAAGGACCUGUAGCGUUAAGGAGAGCCUAUCUGUCGAUAUGUUCGCUUCGGAAGCGCCCUUGAACGGGACUCCAUAGAAGGUGCGAGGCCUGUACCGAAGCGGCAUUCGAUAGUUUGCGCCUCCGUAGAGUCGAGUUGCUUGAGAGUGCAGCUCUAAGUCGAAGGUAAACCACUUCUAAAACUAAAUAUGACCACGAGACCGAUAGCGAACAAGUACCGCGAGGGAAAGUUGAAAAGAACUUUGAAGAGAGAGUUCAAAAGGGCGUGAAACCGCUUAGAAGAUAAACGAAUGGAGCUGUCGGUAGCUUAUGGAAAUCAGUUAAACGAUAGACGAACAGGCGUUUAUUAGUUAGAACGUAAGUCUAACUACGUGAAUGCAUAGUAGUCGACGCUUAGCGCAUUUUUCAUAGGUUUGCACUGCAACCGGUAUAUAUGGCUGUCGUAGGCGUACGCGAUUGAGGGCGAGAACCUUCGGGCUUUCGUAACCAGUCGUCGUGCGUUUUUGUCAGACCAUCGUUAUCGGCGAUAUGUGACGUUACGACGACGUCGGCUGUAAAGCUCGUCUGAGCGAUACGGCGAUCGGCCAUUCGGUUGGUAUCUGCUCGCAGAUGCCCGAUUGAAUCGGUUAGUCGUUCCGUUCGUUCGGCGACGUUCGACGUCGUGGCGUUCGCAGUGUCUGCGUCAGUCACCCAUUCGACCCGUCUUGAAACACGGACCAAGGAGUCUAACAUAUGCGCGAGCCAAUAAGUAUAAAUAAACUUAGAGGCGCAAUAAAAGUAAAAACUGUCCUUGUCGGCAGUCUAGGUACGAUCCUAGUUGUGUAUUAACGUAUACACUAGGCGCAGUACCGUCCCGUCCCAUCCUUUUAUAGGUAGGGCGGAGAAAGAGUGCAUACGUUGGGACCCGAAAGAUGGUGAACUAUGCCUGAGCAGAGCGAAGCCAGAGGAAACUCUGGUGGAGGUUCGUAGCGGUUCUGACGUGCAAAUCGAUCGUCAGACUUGGGUAUAGGGGCGAAAGACUAAUCGAACCAUCUAGUAGCUGGUUCCUGC